AUUGAACGCUGGCGGCAGGCCUAACACAUGCAAGUCGAGCGGAGCGGCGGACGGGCGAGUAAUGCCUAGGAAUCUGACUGGUCGUGGGGGAUAACGUCCGGAAACGGGCGCUAAUGCCGUAUAAUAUCAGAUGAGCCUUGGUCGGAUUAGCUAUUUGGUGGGGUAAAGGCCUACCAAGGCGGCGUACCGUAACUGGUCUGAGAGGUUGACCAGUAACACUGGAACUGAGGCACGGUCCAGACUCCUGCGGAGGGCGGCAGUGGGGAAUAUUGGACAAUGGUCGAAAGCCUGAUGCAGCCAUGCCGCGUGUGUGAAGAAGGUCUUCGGAUUGUAAAGCACUUUAAGUUUGGAGGCGUUACCAACAGAAUAAGCACCGGCUAACUUCGUGCCAGCCGCCGCGGUAAUAC
rnacentral:rRNA from 1 species